GGCAGGGAAGAAAUGUCGAAUAUUAAUACCAUUCGGCGAUGACGGUACCUGCAGAAUAAGCACCGGCUAACUACGUGCCAGCAGCCGCGGUAAUACGUAGGGUGCAAGCGUUAAUCGGAAUUACUGGGCGUAAAGCGUGCGCAGGCGGUUGGAUAAGACAGGUGUGAAAUUCCCGGGCUCAACCUGGGAACUGCAUUUGUGACUGUUCGACUAGAGUGCGGCAGAGGGGAAUGGAAUUCC
rnacentral:rRNA from 1 species